rnacentral:rRNA from 1 species
UAAAACUUUCAACAACGGAUCUCUUGGUUCUGGCAUCGAUGAAAGAACGCAGCGAAAAUGCGAUAAGUAAUGUGAAUUGCAGAAUUCAGUGAAUCAUCGAACCUUUGAACGCACAUUGCGCCCUCUGGUAUUCCGGAGGGCAUGCCUGUUCGAGCGUCAUUU